rnacentral:rRNA from 1 species
AUUGAACGCUGGCGGCAGGCUUAACACAUGCAAGUCGAGCGGGGGAAGGUAGCUUGCUACUGGACCUAGCGGCGGACGGGUGAGUAAUGCUUAGGAAUCUGCCUAUUAGUGGGGGACAACAUCUCGAAAGGGAUGCUAAUACCGCAUACGUCCUACGGGAGAAAGCAGGGGAUCUUCGGACCUUGCGCUAAUAGAUGAGCCUAAGUCGGAUUAGCUAGUUGGUGGGGUAAAGGCCUACCAAGGCGACGAUCUGUAGCGGGUCUGAGAGGAUGAUCCGCCACACUGGGACGUAGACACGGCCCAGACUGCUACGGGAGGCAGCAGUGGGGAAUAUUGGACAAUGGGGGGAACCCUGAUCCAGCCAUGCCGCGUGUGUGAAGAAGGCCUUAUGGUUGUAAAGCACUUUAGGCGAGGAGGAGGCUACUUUAGUUAAUACCUAGAGAUAGUGGACGUUACUCGCAGAAUAAGCACCGGCUAACUCUGUGCCAGCCGCCGCCGUAA